UGAAGAAGCUGAAGAAGCCAAAAGAAUUUUCAAUUAAAGGAAUUGCAGAGACAUGUGACAGCACCGGGCAGGUCCUUUGUUCCAAAAAGCCAUUGCAUCUGCCCUAAUCCAUGGAUGUCCCGGAUCAGAUGGAGCAUUAGCAUUUGUUCAGGCUGUGAUGACACAGGGUGUCAGGCCAUGGCAAUACAGCCAUCAAAACCAACCUGCCAAAACAGCUUGGGGAAACAAACAAUACAGCUUGGAUUGGCCAGGGAGCAUCCAGUGUGAUUUUGUUCAUGGGUCCCAGAGAACAAACAGUUUAACAUCAGCCAUCUCGGCUGCAGCUCAGGAGGUGUGAUCAGACAGAAGCCUGAAUGCAGUGGGCAUUUCUGACCUACAUUUUGGGAGCUGAGCACUGCCUGUCUGUGUGUACAUAACUCACAGCAAAACUGUCUCUGUUCUCCCAGCUGGGGGAGGGAUUUCUGCAUUCCCAGCGCCCUCCAGAGCUGCUUACACAGGUUCCCACAGCAUCCCAGAGAUGGUCCUGCAGCUCUGGCUGCUGUCCAACUCUUCUGUCACAGAAAAACCCACUUCCAGCAGCUUAGGAAACCCACUUAGCAGCAGAAAGGAGCCAAGUACUGCAAACUUUGCAGCCGAAUUUAGGGUGUCAGUGGAAUAAAGACACCAUGGUACUGCACAGAGCUCCCCUGCACAGGGAAUGAGGCUCAGGAGGAGUCCCAGACUGGCCAGUGGAACACCCUGCAGGACUGGAAUCCCUCUGGCCCCAUCCCACUCCUGGAUGGAUCCAGGCUGGUACUGCCAGGGAGGCUCAGCAGAGCAGCAGCAGCUCCUGAGCCUGCAGGAGGCUGCAGACCCAUCCCCACCACUCUCAAAAUGAUUUCCUGCCCUUAUUCAGGGCAUCAAGAGCCUGCUGUCAUCCACUUGGACUGCACUUGAACCCUCUCUCAAGUGAAUGCCCUGCAGCUCUUGUCUUCAAACGCUGGUGCCCAUCCUUUUUGAUCAUCCAAGUCAUGCAGAUUUUUCAAAGGCAGAGCUGAUGCUCACGGCCCCUCUCCUGCUUUCUGAUUUCUUGACUGGACUCACUGUGCAUUCAGUGCACAAGUCAUUCAUGCAAAUAAGGCACUGCAUACUCAAAAGAUGUCCAAGAUGAGGAAUAGCUGAGAUCAGACUGCCCCUAUUGGAAUAAUGUGUAGUCCACCUACCUUUUACUUAGGCUAAAUCUGAGAGUGUACAAAAACUUGUAGGCAAAUAUUUUAACCAUGACUCCAGCUUAUUGUGGCUGCCACUCAUUCCUGGUUACUCUGUCUCUUUAUGGCUCUUUCCAUACCUUGCCCACAUUGUCCUGGAUGUUCCCAGAGACCACAUGCAUCCAGCUUGGACAGACUGACUGACUCCUAAGCAGCCUCUGGUGCAAAGGACCUGAGGAGUUUUGUCAGGACAGUUUUUGUGCAGGAAAAGUACAGAAGAGUUCCUUGGCAUGCCUGGGGAAAUCUGUAAUCCAACAGCUCAGGGCAUUUGAAAUUAAACACCUUCAAGAACAGAGAGCAUCUGAGCAGGAGAUUCCAGCAGCAGCUUGGUUCUCAGCUCAGGGCAAUACAAGGUGACAAACAUGACUUCAAGUCUUGACAGACAAAUAUAGGAGGAAGAAAUAAGAAACUUUUAAAUGCCUUUGAGACACUGCAGCAGUGUCAGUGUCAGUGUCAGUGUCAGUGUUGUCAGUGUC